rnacentral:rRNA from 1 species
UGGGGAAUAUUGCGCAAUGGGCGAAAGCCUGACGCAGCAACGCCGCGUGAGGGAUGAAGGCCUUCGGGUUGUAAACCUCUUUUAUCAGGGAAGAAGCGAAAGUGACGGUACCUGAAGAAAAAGCACCGGCUAACUACGUGCCAGCAGCCGCGGUAAUACGUAGGGUGCAAGCGUUAUCCGGAAUUAUUGGGCGUAAAGAGCUCGUAGGCGGUUUGUCGCGUCUGCUGUGAAAAUCUGAGGCUCAACCUCGGACUUGCAGUGGGUACGGGCAGACUAGAGUGCGGUAGGGGAGAAGGGAAUUCCUGGUGUAGCGGUGGAAUGCGCAGAUAUCAGGAGGAACACCAAUGGCGAAGGCACUUCUCUGGGCCGCUACUGACGCUGAGGA